ensembl:lncRNA
AAAAUAAGAACCAAGAUCUAUCAUGUACAGGUACAGACACCCACUGAUAAAUGUAAACGAAUUGUAUACCUAAAGUGUACCAAUAAAAGAACUAAAAAAAAAAAGUCAGUGACUUCAAGAUUCCAUAGAGCAUUACCAGGAUAUAGUGAACACAAGGAGGGACAGAUUUAGAGGAAGAAAAAAUGAAUUUGGGUCAUACUAAAAUUAAGACUAAUAUUUGUAAAUAUUUAGAUAGAAAUAUCUAUUAUUGGAAAUAUGUUUGUCUAAAGUUUGGAAGAGGUGGAUUUGAGUAUUGUCUAUAUGGAAGUGAUUGGAAACAUAGGAGUGUAUAAAAUUCUGAGAGUGAAAAGAUACGAUCAAGACAAGAUGAAGUGUUGACACACAUUGUAGAAAGGCAUCAAUGGGGAGAACAUUAUCCCCAAAAGAAAGAAAAACUAUCUGAAAAAAAUGCCUGUAAAAUAUAGAGAACUGAUGUAUAUGGCCAGUGUGGCAGAGCACAGAGGUAAAGGCGGAAAGAUGAACCUGGAUGGGUCAUCAGAGGUGAGUUCAUAGAAACUUUGUAGGCAGGGAUCAGGAUGCUUGGUCCUUCUCUUAAGAAUAAUGUGAAGCUAUUUAAUACGUAUAGUCAUAAUUAAAUUUGCAUUUUUAAAUGAUCACUCUAGCUGUAACGUGGAGAAUAAUUUAGAGAGAGGUCUGGCCAAAAAUGGUGAUGAGAGAUACUAAUCUGAUAUAGCAUGGUGACAGUGUAGUUGAAGAGAUUUGAGGAUUUCAGCAACCUUAGUAUGGAUCAAAUAUGGAUGGUGAAGGAGAGGCAAGUGUCACAGAAUAGGUCUCAUUUUCUGCCUUUGGUUGUUGCUUGAAUGGAUAGUGGUCCCCUUGAACGGGAUAGAAAAGAAAUCCAUUGUUGGAGAUGAGUGGAAAGGUGGCAGUCAGAAUCCACAAUUGAGAAGAAAGCUGUGCGUACAAGUCUGCUGCCCAGCAGAGAGCUCUGAGGUGAAGAUGGUAGCUUAGACAUGGUCAGCACGCGGUUAGUAGUUGAGGCCAUGGAGUGAAUGAGAUUGAUUAGGGAGAGAGAACACAGCCAGAAGCAAACAAGACCAGUCUAGAGCUACAAGAUUAAUGACUAUAAUAAGCUUACAGAACACAAGCAUUUAACUGUCAAAUUGAGGAGAGUGAGCCAGUAAAAGAGUGGGAGAAAAGAGUUGAUGAGAGAAGUAGAAAGGACAUCAGGAUAAUCCAGUGUUAUAGAAACCAAGGAAAAGGGUUCAAAGAGAAACAAGUAAAUAGCUUUGGGUGAUGUUAAAUGACGAACAACAAUAAAGACUAAAAAUGUUGGUUGUAAAAAAUUAAUAUAAUCCUAUGGCAACAAUUUACCAUAAUAGAUUAAAUUACAAAACUGAAAUCUGAACUCAACUUUUUAAUAAGAAUGUGUGACUGAUAGUGUUUCUUGUUGUACAUGCUUUGCAAAUGCUGAAAGGAGUCCCUGUUAAUGACUGGGGAACUGAAACUUGGUAGCAUUCCAAGAAGCUUUCGUAAGAAGCCAUGACUCAGCCAUCUGGAGAGUGCUCCAGAGAUUUCCAAACCCGUAGCCUCCUGACUUCCCCCCUUCCUACAAUCUCCACCCAAAAAAGACCAGGAAGUGCUGCUAAAUGAUAUGAUUAAAGUCAUAUAGGAAAAUGACAAAUCAUUCAUCAAGAACCACAACCCGAAGUUACAGGGGUGAUAAAAUGGAGCUGAAAGCCAAAUAAUCCAGUCCCGGUCAUGCAGUUAACUACUCAAAUCCAGUCAUCUCGAGUGUGGUGUGUUCACACACCCUGCUUUCUCUUCUCCGCUGCUCUAUCUACCCGACUUGGUCAGCAGUCUCAUGCAUUACUAACUCUGUCUGGAGACAGCAGCCCAGGUGAAGUAUGCCUUCUAGAAAAGUGAGAAAUUACAGUGCCAAAGACACAGCCCUCUGAGGUGACUUAGAAUCAACUGGGCCGAGAUUCUGCACUUCUAGCAAGCUGCCUUGUGAUCCUAUCAUAUUGCUGCUGGUCCAUGGAUCCAAGCAGAGGAAGCUUAAGAAGACUGUUGUGGACAACAGUAGAUAAGAACUCAUCUUACUUUUCAAAUAAGGCCCUUUUUCUCACAGGUUCUGCGGAAGAAGAAACAAUCAGAGAGAUAACUCUGUGAGUUUUCACAAUAAAUGCAAUCAGCAGCACAAUAAAUUAUACAUUUUCAUCAUCCCUAGUAUACCUCCAUGUCCUUUGUGGCCAACCAGUGAGACCCCUUGAUCUGUUUUCUGCAGAAUGUCAUAUAAAAGAAAUCACAGCAUUUCAAUGCAGUCUUUUGAUAAUGGUUUCUUUCAUUAACUACAGCAUUAAAGCUUUAUUCUUGGUUUAUGUAUUAUUAUCACUUCCUUUUUUCACUGAGUUGUAUUUGCUUAUAUUGAUAUAUCACAUCUUGCUUAUCUAUUCCA